rnacentral:rRNA from 1 species
GACGAACGCUGGCGGCGUGCUUAACACAUGCAAGUCGAACGGAAAGGCCUGCUUUCCCUUGUGGAUUGCGGGUGCUCGAGUGGCGAACGGGUGAGUAACACGUGAGUGAUCUGCCCCCAACUUGGGUAUAAGCCUGGGAAACUGGGUCUAAUUCCCGAUAGGACUGCAGGGUGGUGCCUGUGGUGGAAAACGAUUUUCUAGUGGUUGUGGAUGAGCUCGCGGCCUAUCAGCUUGUUGGUGGGGUAAUGGCCUACCAAGGCGGCGACGGGUAGCCGGCCUGAGAGGGUGGACGGCCACAUUGGGACUGAGAUACGGCCCAGACUCCUACGGGAGGCAGCAGUGGGGAAUAUUGCACAAUGGGCGGAAGCCUGAUGCAGCGACGCCGCGUGGGGGAUGACGGCCUUCGGGUUGUAAACUCCUUUCGACCGCGAGGAAGCCACCUGGUUGGAAGGGUGGUGACGGUAGUGGUAGAAGAAGCACCGGCUAACUACGUG